AUUGAACGCUGGCGGCAGGCUUAACACAUGCAAGUCGAGCGGAGAUGAGGUGCUUGCACCUUAUCUUAGCGGCGGACGGGUGAGUAAUGCUUAGGAAUCUGCCUAUUAGUGGGGGACAACAUUCCGAAAGGAAUGCUAAUACCGCAUACGUCCUACGGGAGAAAGCAGGGGAUCUUCGGACCUUGCGCUAAUAGAUGAGCCUAAGUCGGAUUAGCUAGUUGGCGGGGUAAAGGCCUACCAAGGCGACGAUCUGUAGCGGGUCUGAGAGGAUGAUCCGCCACACUGGGACUGAGACACGGCCCAGACUCCUACGGGAGGCAGCAGUGGGGAAUAUUGGACAAUGGGGGGAACCCUGAUCCAGCCAUGCCGCGUGUGUGAAGAAGGCCUUAUGGUUGUAAAGCACUUUAAGCGAGGAGGAGGCUACUGAGACUAAUACUCUUGGAUAGUGGACGUUACUCGCAGAAUAAGCACCGGCUAACUCUGUGCCAGCAGCCGCAGUAA
rnacentral:rRNA from 1 species